rnacentral:rRNA from 1 species
CCUACGGGGUGCUGCAGUGAGGAAUAUUGGUCAAUGGCCGGAAGGCUGAACCAGCCAAGCCGCGUGAAGGACGAAGGUGCCAAGCAUUGUAAACUUCUUUUGUCAAGGGACAAACUCCGGCUCGAGAGCCUGACCGAGGGUACUUGAAGAAAAAGCAUCGGCUAACUCCGUGCCAGCAGCCGCGGUAAUACGGAGGAUGCGAGCGUUAUCCGGAUUUAUUGGGUUUAAAGGGUGCGUAGGCGGGCUGUUAAGUCAGCGGUAAAAGCCCGGGGCUCAACCCCGGCGAGCCGUUGAAACUGGCGGUCUUGAGAUGUCGAGAGGUAGGCGGAAUGAGCAGUGUAGCGGUGAAAUGCUUAGAUAUUGCGCAGAACUCCGAUUGCGAAGGCAGCAUACCGGCGGCGAUCUGACGCUGAGGCACGAAAGCGUGGGUAUCGAACAGGAUUAGAUACCCGUGUAGUC